GAUGAACGCUAGCUACAGGCUUAACACAUGCAAGUCGAGGGGAAACGAUAUUGGAAGCUUGCUUCCGAUAGGCGUCGACCGGCGCACGGGUGAGUAACGCGUAUCCAACCUGCCCACCACUUGGGGAUAACCUUGCGAAAGUAAGACUAAUACCCAAUGACGUCCAUAGAAGACAUCUGAAAUGGAUUAAAGAUUUAUCGGUGAUGGAUGGGGAUGCGUCUGAUUAGCUUGUUGGCGGGGUAACGGCCCACCAAGGCGACGAUCAGUAGGGGUUCUGAGAGGAAGGUCCCCCACAUUGGAACUGAGACACGGUCCAAGCUCCUACGGGAGGCAGCAGUGAGGAAUAUUGGUCAAUGGGCGAGGGCCUGGACCAGCCAAGUAGCGUGCAGGAUGACGGCCCUAUGGGUUGUAAACUGCUUUUAUAAGGGAAUAAAGUGAGUCUCGUGAGGCUUUUUGCAUGUACCUUAUGAAUAAGGACCGGCUAAUUCCGUGCCAGCCGCCGCCGUAA
rnacentral:rRNA from 1 species